rnacentral:rRNA from 1 species
UGCCAGCAGCCGCGGUAAUACGGAGGGGGUUAGCGUUGUUCGGAAUUACUGGGCGUAAAGCGCACGUAGGCGGAUUAGAAAGUUAUUUGUUAAAUCCUAAAGCCCAACUUUAGAACAGCAUUUAAUACUACUUUACUUGAGUUUUGUUCGGAAGAGUAGAAUUCCACGUUUAGGGAUAAUCCCCGUAGAUAUGUGGAGGAACACCAUUAGCGAAGGCGACUCUUUGGUAAAAACUGACGUUGAGGGACGAAAGUGUAGGGAGCAAACAGGAUUAGAUA